CCCUUAGAUGUUCUGGGCCGCACGCGUGCUACACUGAGUGGAUCAGCGGGUCAGGUUGCGCGAAAGCGUUUCCUAAUCUUUAAAUCCGCUCGUGAUGGGGAUUGACGGUUGCAAUUUUCUGUCAUGAACGAGGAAUACCUUGUAAGCGCGGGUCAUCAUCCCGCGCUGAAUACGUCCCUGCCCUUUGUACACACCGCCCGUCGCUGCCCGGAACUGAGCCGUUUCGAGAAGACUGGGGACUGCGAACUUUGGGCUGGAAAACAGCUUUUUGUUUGUGGAAACCACUUUAAUCGCAGCGGCUUGAACCGGGCAAAAGUCGUAACA
rnacentral:rRNA from 1 species